GAAUUUUGGACAAUGGGCGAAAGCCUGAUCCAGCCAUGCCGCGUGCAGGAUGAAGGCCUUCGGGUGGUCAACUGCUAUUGUACGGAACGAAAAGCUUUGGGUCAAUACCUUGUAGUCAUGAAGGUCACACAAGAAUAAGCACCGGCCAACUACGUGCAACCUGCCGGUGUCAUACGUAGGGUGCAAGCGUUAAUCGGCAGUACGGGGCGUAAAGCGUGCGCAGGCAGUGUUGUAAGACAGAGGUGAAAUCCCCGGGCUCCACCUGGGAACUGCCUUUGUGACUGCAAAGCAAGAGUACGGCAGAGGGGGGGGGAAGUCCGAGUGGAGCAGUGUAAUGCGUAGAUAUGAGGAGGAACACCGAUGGCGAAGGAAACCCCCUGGGCCUGUACUGACGCUCAUGCACGAAAGCGUGGGGAGCAAACA
rnacentral:rRNA from 1 species